rnacentral:snRNA from 2 species
GGAUGUGAGGGUGACCUGGCUGUGACAUCUCUCACCCCAUUGAUGGCCAAGGUUGAUUUGGCUGAUCUGGCUAUCCCCUUUCUCCCUUAGGGCUCCAUAUGUGUCCUUCCCAAAGCUGCCCACUCAGUGGAAGAGGGCAACCUUAUCUGAUAGAGGAGGAUUGUUCUUCAAAGGUAUUUCAGUAACUCCCCUGCUAGAACUUCCAAACAAGCUCUAAGGUCCAGUUGUAGAAGGUGAGGUCAGUCAAGCUUCUAAGAUUGCAGAUACAUCCAAACAAGGCGCUGCAUGGAGCAGUCUGCCUUUCUCA